rnacentral:rRNA from 1 species
GAUGGACGCUAGCUACAGGCUUAACACAUGCAAGUCGAGGGGCAGCACUAGGUAGCAAUACUGAGGUGGCGACCGGCGCACGGGUGCGUAACGCGUAUCCAACCUUGCCGUUACUCAAGGAUAGCCUUCCGAAAGGGAGAUUAAUACCUGAUGGUGUUGGAAUUCAGCAUGUUAUUUCAUCUAAAGAUUAAUCGUUAACGGAUGGGGGUGCGUGACAUUAGGUAGAUGGCGGGGUAACGGCCCACCAUGCGUACGAUGUCUAGGGGUUCGGUGAGGAAGGUCCCCCACACUGGAACUGAGACACGGUCCAGACUCCUACGGGAGGCAGCAGUGAGGAAUAUUGGUCAAUGGUCGGAAGACUGGACCAGCCAAGUAGCGUGAAGGAUGAAGGUUCUAUGGAUUGUAAACUUCUUUUAUACGGGAAUAAAACCACCUACGUGUAGGUGCUUGUAUGUACCGUGUGAAUAAGCAUCGGCUAACUCCGUGCCAGCAGCCGCCGUAAGAC